GGGAGAGAUGCCUAGCAAUGCUGUGCCAGGCCAGUGAGCUGGAUGUUGUAAAGGAGAUUGCACGCAGGACCAAAACAAAAAUGGCUGACGCUGGGCCGCUAACAUUCUUCGAUGCUCUCCGAAAUGAAAAGGACCCACGGACCCACUAUGGGAGGCCUGGAGUGUGUUGCAUACCGAUUGGUUAUCCAUCUGAAAAUGGAAAAGCCAGCUAUUGGCGUUACAACGAGAACACUUUCACAGAGAAUGGUAGAGCAUGGGGCGGAUAUGGGAAAGAAUGGGGUGAACACUGCGCUGGCGGAGGAGG
rnacentral:lncRNA from 1 species